UAGGUGAACCUGCCGUUGGAUCAGU
rnacentral:rRNA from 2 species